rnacentral:rRNA from 1 species
GAUGAACGCUGGCGGCGUGCCUAAUACAUGCAAGUCGAGCGAACAGACGAGGAGCUUGCUCCUCUGACGUUAGCGGCGGACGGGUGAGUAACACGUGGAUAACCUACCUAUAAGACUGGGAUAACUUCGGGAAACCGGAGCUAAUACUGGAUAAUAUAUUGAACCGCAAGGUUCAAUAGUGAAAGACGGUUUUGCUGUCACUUAUAGAUGGAUCCGCGCCGCAUUAGCUAGUUGGUAAGGUAACGGCUUACCAAGGCAACGAUGCGUAGCCGACCUGAGAGGGUGAUCGGCCACACUGGAACUGAGACACGGUCCAGACUCCUACGGGAGGCAGCAGUAGGGAAUCUUCCGCAAUGGGCGAAAGCCUGACGGAGCAACGCCGCGUGAGUGAUGAAGGUCUUCGGAUCGUAAAACUCUGUUAUUAGGGAAGAACAAAUGUGUAAGUAACUAUGCACGUCUUGACGGUACCUAAUCAGAAAGCCACGGCUAACUACGUG